rnacentral:rRNA from 1 species
CCUACGGGAGGCAGCAGUGGGGAAUAUUGGGCAAUGGGCGCAAGCCUGACCCAGCAACGCCGCGUGAAGGAAGAAGGCUUUCGGGUUGUAAACUUCUUUUCUCAGGGACGAAGCAAGUGACGGUACCUGAGGAAUAAGCCACGGCUAACUACGUGCCAGCAGCCGCGGUAAUACGUAGGUGGCAAGCGUUAUCCGGAUUUACUGGGUGUAAAGGGCGUGUAGGCGGGGACGCAAGUCAGAUGUGAAAACCACGGGCUCAACCUGUGGCCUGCAUUUGAAACUGUGUUUCUUGAGUACUGGAGAGGCAGACGGAAUUCCUAGUGUAGCGGUGAAAUGCGUAGAUAUUAGGAGGAACACCAGUGGCGAAGGCGGUCUGCUGGACAGUAACUGACGCGGAGGCGCGAAAGCGUGGGGAGCAAACAGGAUUAGAUACCCGGGUAGUC